GAGGGGAUAGCUCAGUGGUAGAGUGCCUGCCUCGCAUGCACAUGGGUUCAGUUCCCAGUACCUACACUUAAAUCCUGGGUUCAAUCCCCAGUACCCCCA
rnacentral:tRNA from 1 species